UGGGUCUGGUGGACUGUUCUGUGCUUGUU
rnacentral:piRNA from 1 species